GUUUCAGCCCUUCGGUCAAAUUCCUGCUCUCGAGGACGGUGAUUUGACGCUUUUCG
rnacentral:sRNA from 1 species